GAUAGCUCUGAACUAGAGUCACAGUGAGGGAGGAGAGUGGCAAGAAGCAAGCGUAAAAACAGCCCCACCUUCACACUCUUGAGUGUCAUUACUUUUACUACUGUCCCCGUGAGUGCCCUGUCCUGGUAAGCACAUCUGUUCAUUGGGGUGGCUCUGAGAUUUGAGGACAGGUGGAGUUGGUUUGCAGCUAUGAAGAAAGUCUCGGAGAGCACCCUGAAAGCCUUGUGCAGUGCGAGGACAGAAUCCAGGAUGAGAUGUGUGGGGUUUAUAGUGUCAGACACAUGGCAGGCACACUAACUUCCCACAGCUGAGCCCAGCAACAUACUCUAAGCUUUGUCUCUUGAAGAAUACUUGCAUAAGCCUCUUCCUUUCCCUUUCCAAAUCUAAAACUGUUGUGUUUACAAAAAGACCAAGAGAGGGGGAUAUGUUCUAUGGAGGGCUGAGGAAAGGGGGUACCUCAGCGGGCCCAUGCUGAGACAUCCCUUCCCCCCACAGGACCAGCACAAGACGGUAUAGUAUAGAAUAGAGUUUAUUUAGGGAAUGGGGAGGGGAGGAGAGGGUGGAGAGAAGAGGCUGGCCAUGAGCACUUGGAGAGAAGCGGGGAGGGGAAUGGGGAGAGAAGGAACAAAGGGGCAAGAGAGAGCAAGAGGAGUAAGGAAGGGGCAAGCAGGCCCUUUUAUAAUGUCAGGCAUACUAGGCUGUUGCCAGGCAACUAUUGGUGGAGCAUACCUGGCUAUUGCCAGGUAACUGUGGGGGUGGAGAUUAGAAUGCUAACAAAAACAACUUGGCAAUCACAGUUACACACUGGCUAGUGGAUUACAGGGAUAUACUCUUCUUGAACCAAAUGCCUUGUCUUGUCAAUGAAAUGUUCAUACCCAUCCCAACAAUCCACUUCUCUAAUGAUCAACAGACACCAGGAAUACUGGUCUAUCUACAUCUAUAACAACUUCUCUUUAUCUAAAGCUGAGUGCAUGUGCCAUGCGCCCAAGACCCAUGGUUGUUCUGCCAGACUAGGAAAGCCCUGAAUUAGCAUCCAUCUCUCCAGUCUCGAGUCUCCUAGAGGAAUUUACAUUUGGAGUCUACCGACACAGUAAGUGUAUGUAUUCAAAGUGGAAAGAGACGGAGAGACGGAAAGAGAUGAACAUGGAAGAGGGGGCCUACGCACUGUGAGUGGAGCAGUAAGCCAGGCUUUGUGGCAUCCAGGUCAGAGGAAUGGCACGUCAGGUGGGUCAGUGGACUGCAGAAGACUUUUGGAAAAGAUGCUACACUCGAGGCUGUGGUGGCUGGAGGGGUACACACUUCAAGUGAUCAUCAAAGUCGGGGAGUUGUCUGUUGGGAGCUGGACAUGACUUCAGAGGACCGAGGUCUGAGGACUUACAGAUUCCAUUAGCUCCGCUCCCCAUGUGACCAUGAGGUAGCCUGUAGGCUUCCCAUGGUCAUUUCUCAUUUCCUCUGUUCCAACAUUCAGUUUUCCAACAAGGAGCUGGGAAGGGAAGCUGGCUAUAUAAAUGCAUAGCCUUAUACUUACUCAUCCUAAGUAAAAACCCAGCCAGAGCGGAUCAAAGACUUCAGUGUACUAGCUAACCUUUGAAGCUGCUGGAGGAAAGCUGAGAAAAGCACUUCAGAAACAGACACAAGGCAGGGCUUUCUGAGAAGACUCAAGUAACACAAAACAACCAUGAGGACUGCAAAGGGGAUUAUACAAAAUAUAAAUUCUUCUGCACAGUGAUGAGACAAUCUACCCAGUGGGAAAAUCUCAGCCAACUACACACGCAACAGGGAAUCAGUAUCCAGAGUCUACAAGAAUUCAGAACGUUAAAUCCCAAGACAUCAAGUCACGUGAUCAACUAAGUAUGUUUAUGAAUGGAACAGGAACAUCUCAAAGGAAGAAAUACAAAUCGCCAACUGUGGGUAUGGGGAACAGGAAGUCUCGGGGAAAGUGGAGACAGAGCCCACAAAGCCUAGGAUUCAGACUCCAGAGACCAGCAUCAGAGUGCAGAACUAAAUUUGUUGUUUAUUACAUAAGCAUAUAUGUCUUUUUAGCCACUUAUGAUAUGUUUAUGUAUUUAAAAGCAAAUCCUGGUACGACA